AUUGCAUCUAGCUAAAGUGGGGACCUUCAAGUUUGUUUGAAGUUCCAGUUCAGGGUGAUGGUACUUCUGAAGAGCUUUUCACUUGCCUGGCACCUGAAUUGACAAAAUUCAUUUUCAUAAUUGCCAAAGAGAAUGAGCUGUCAUUAUGCACACAGAACAUUCACAUACUCAGGGUAAGCAAUCGCAGAACCAAGGAUGGAUUUAAGGGUACCUACCUACCUUUUAAAAAUAUUGAUUUUUUCUUUGUAAUUUCUUCACAAUUUUAGCCAUCUUAAUUCUUUUUAUUUAUUUAUUGUAAUUGCUUGAAAUAUAUAUAUAUACACCUUGGAUUCAGACUUUCAUAUCA